AUUGAACGCUUGCGGCAGGCUUAACACAUGCAAGUCGAACGAUGAUUAUCUAGCUUGCUAGAUAUGAUUAGUGGCGGACGGGUGAGUAACAUUUAGGAAUCUGCCUAGUAGUGGGGGAUAGCUCGGGGAAACUCGAAUUAAUACCGCAUACGACCUACGGGUGAAAGGGGGCGCAAGCUCUUGCUAUUAGAUGAGCCUAAAUCAGAUUAGCUAGUUGGUGGGGUAAAGGCCCACCAAGGCGACGAUCUGUAACUGGUCUGAGAGGAUGAUCAGUCACACCGGAACUGAGACACGGUCCGGACUCCUACGGGAGGCAGCAGUGGGGAAUAUUGGACAAUGGGGGCAACCCUGAUCCAGCCAUGCCGCGUGUGUGAAGAAGGCCUUUUGGUUGUAAAGCACUUUAAGCAGGGAGGAGAGGCUAAUGGUUAAUACCCAUUAGAUUAGACGUUACCUGCAGAAUAAGCACCGGCUAACUCUGUGCCAGCAGCCGCGGUAAUACAGAGGGUGCGAGCGUUAAUCGGAAUUACUGGGCGUAAAGCGAGUGUAGGUGGCUCAUUAAGUCACAUGUGAAAUCCCCGGGCUUAACCUGGGAACUGCAUGUGAUACUGGUGGUGCUAGAAUAUGUGAGAGGGAAGUAGAAUUCCAGGUGUAGCGGUGAAAUGCGUAGAGAUCUGGAGGAAUACCGAUGGCGAAGGCAGCUUCCUGGCAUAAUAUUGACACUGAGAUUCGAAAGCGUGGGUAGCAAACAGGAUUAGAUACCCUGGUAGUCCACGCCGUAAACGAUGUCUACUAGCCGUUGGGGUCCUUGAGACUUUAGUGGCGCAGUUAACGCGAUAAGUAGACCGCCUGGGGAGUACGGCCGCAAGGUUAAAACUCAAAUGAAUUGACGGGGGCCCGCACAAGCGGUGGAGCAUGUGGUUUAAUUCGAUGCAACGCGAAGAACCUUACCUGGUCUUGACAUAGUGAGAAUCCUGCAGAGAUGCGGGAGUGCCUUCGGGAAUUCACAUACAGGUGCUGCAUGGCUGUCGUCAGCUCGUGUCGUGAGAUGUUGGGUUAAGUCCCGCAACGAGCGCAACCCUUUUCCUUAUUUGCCAGCGGGUUAAGCCGGGAACUUUAAGGAUACUGCCAGUGACAAACUGGAGGAAGGCGGGGACGACGUCAAGUCAUCAUGGCCCUUACGACCAGGGCUACACACGUGCUACAAUGGUAGGUACAGAGGGUUGCUACACAGCGAUGUGAUGCUAAUCUCAAAAAGCCUAUCGUAGUCCGGAUUGGAGUCUGCAACUCGACUCCAUGAAGUCGGAAUCGCUAGUAAUCGCAGAUCAGAAUGCUGCGGUGAAUACGUUCCCGGGCCU
rnacentral:rRNA from 1 species